CCUACGGGGGGCUGCAGUGGGGAAUAUUGGACAAUGGGCGAAAGCCUGAUCCAGCCAUGCCGCGUGUGUGAAGAAGGCCUUCGGGUUGUAAAGCACUUUCAGUGGGGAAGAAAGCCUUGGGGCUAAUACCCUCGAGGAAGGACAUCACCCACAGAAGAAGCACCGGCUAACUCCGUGCCAGCAGCCGCGGUAAUACGGAGGGUGCGAGCGUUAAUCGGAAUUACUGGGCGUAAAGCGCGCGUAGGCGGUCUGAUCAGCCGGUUGUGAAAGCCCCGGGCUCAACCUGGGAACGGCAUCCGGAACGGUCAGGCUAGAGUGCAGGAGAGGAAGGUAGAAUUCCCGGUGUAGCGGUGAAAUGCGUAGAGAUCGGGAGGAAUACCAGUGGCGAAGGCGGCCUUCUGGACUGACACUGACGCUGAGGUGCGAAAGCGUGGGUAGCAAACAGGAUUAGAUACCCUAGUAGUC
rnacentral:rRNA from 1 species